rnacentral:lncRNA from 1 species
UGCAAAGUAGGGCUAACUUGGAUGAGGGCUGCUGCGGAGGACUAUUUCUGGUCACACCUCAGCAAGAAGCCAAACGAACAGGCCAUCUGUCUGCAUCCUCUGCGUGGCAUUGAGAGGGAAUCAUCCAACAGACAAAUCACAUCAAGGGGCAAUCUCAACCCAGAGAAGGUAAGAGAGAGAUUUCAGGCACGCCUUCCACUCAAGCGUGACUUUUCCUCUU